rnacentral:rRNA from 1 species
UACGGGGGGGGCAAGCGUUGUUCGGAAUUACUGGGCGUAAAGGGCUCGUAGGCGGCCAACUAAGUCAGACGCGAAAUCCCUCGGCUUAACCGGGGAACUGCGUCUGAUACUGGAUGGCUUGAGGUUGGGAGAGGGAUGCGGAAUUCCAGGUGUAGCGGUGAAAUGCGUAGAUAUCUGGAGGAACACCGGUGGCGAAGGCGGCAUCCUGGACCAAUUCUGACGCUGAGUGAGCGAAAGCCAGGGGAGCAAACGGG